rnacentral:rRNA from 1 species
GACGAACGCUGGCGGCGUGCUUAACACAUGCAAGUCGAACGGAAAGGCCCUUCGGGGUGCUCGAGUGGCGAACGGGUGAGUAACACGUGGGUGAUCUGCCCUGCACUUUGGGAUAAGCCUGGGAAACUGGGUCUAAUACCGAAUAUGAUCAUCGGCUUCAUGGUCGGUGGUGGAAAGCUUUUGCGGUGUGGGAUGGGCCCGCGGCCUAUCAGCUUGUUGGUGGGGUAAUGGCCUACCAAGGCGACGACGGGUAGCCGGCCUGAGAGGGUGACCGGCCACACUGGGACUGAGAUACGGCCCAGACUCCUACGGGAGGCAGCAGUGGGGAAUAUUGCACAAUGGGCGCAAGCCUGAUGCAGCGACGCCGCGUGAGGGAUGACGGCCUUCGGGUUGUAAACCUCUUUCAGCACAGACGAAGCGCAAGUGACGGUAUGUGCAGAAGAAGGACCGGCCAACUACGUGCCAGCAGCCGCGGUAAUACGUAGGGUCCGAGCGUUGUCCGGAAUUACUGGGCGUAAAGAGCUCGUAGUGGUUUGUCGCGUUGUUCGUGAAAACUCACAGCUUAACUGUGGGCGUGCGGGCGAUACGGGCAGACUCGAGUACUGCAGGGGAGACUGGAAUUCCUGGUGUAGCGGUGGAAUGCGCAGAUAUCAGGAGGAACACCGGUGGCGAAGGCGGGUCUCUGGGCAGUAACUGACGCUGAGGAGCGAAAGCGUGGGGAGCGAACAGGAUUAGAUACCCUGGUAGUCCACGCCGUAAACGGUGGGUACUAGGUGUGGGUUUCCUUCCUUGGGAUCCGUGCCGUAGCUAACGCAUUAAGUACCCCGCCUGGGGAGUACGGCCGCAAGGCUAAAACUCAAAGGAAUUGACGGGGGCCCGCACAAGCGGCGGAGCAUGUGGAUUAAUUCGAUGCAACGCGAAGAACCUUACCUGGGUUUGACAUGCACAGGACGCUGGUAGAGAUAUCAGUUCCCUUGUGGCCUGUGUGCAGGUGGUGCAUGGCUGUCGUCAGCUCGUGUCGUGAGAUGUUGGGUUAAGUCCCGCAACGAGCGCAACCCUUGUCCUAUGUUGCCAGCGGGUUAUGCCGGGGACUCGUAGGAGACUGCCGGGGUCAACUCGGAGGAAGGUGGGGAUGACGUCAAGUCAUCAUGCCCCUUAUGUCCAGGGCUUCACACAUGCUACAAUGGCCGGUACAAAGGGCUGCGAUGCCGUGAGGUGGAGCGAAUCCUUUCAAAGCCGGUCUCAGUUCGGAUCGGGGUCUGCAACUCGACCCCGUGAAGUCGGAGUCGCUAGUAAUCGCAGAUCAGCAACGCUGCGGUGAAUACGUUCCCGGGCCU